AAGGAAUGAACUGAAAAAGAUUAGAAGGGAAAAAUAAAGUCAAUGCAAUAUAAUUUUAGUUUAAUAAAGUACACUGUAAACUUUCAAAAAAAAAGAAAGGAAAAAUAAGAAUAAAUCUCACAUAAUAAGGGUAAGUAUUGUGAAAUUUUUAUUUCAAUUAUGCACGCCACACAAAAAUAUGUUUUAGGUACAAUGCAUUUCAAUUAUAUGUACAUAUGCAUAUAUACUUACAUACAUGCACUGAGUCAGAGUGAAAAAAAAAUGCUCAUUAUUCUGGAAGCUGUGGUCAAAAACAAUUGAAAAACACUGCUGUAAAUCGCUCCACAGAGCUCUUCCCUGGGUGAUUUCUACCGAACUUGCUUUCUCCACCUUUCAACACUAAUAGUGUGUAAAUCAGCAGCUUCAGGGGAUGCACAGGGCUGUGAUCAUUUUCAUACAAAGUAUGUCCAUUUAGGCACAUCCUGAGGAGCAUCUCAAGUGCGUGACCUCCUGCACCUGGGUUACUUCCUUCUCGUUGUGCUGAGAGCAACACGGUCUCAGUCUGGAGCUCCAAGAAGCCCUGUAUCUUCUGGAAUAGCCAAAAGCACAGAGGUGGUACUGCUGGAACCCUGCAGGAAGGGACAGGUCCUCUGGGAUUCCCAAUCCAGCUGGAGAACAGAAUUGCCAUCUGGUAAAUCACAAGACGAUUUUUCUCCUUGCCAGACGCACCCUAUCAAUAUGGAAGCUACAGACAGUCUUCGCCACAUAAACAGGUUAUGUUGCCAAAAGUUCCUUUGAAAUUCAGAUGUUUGGAGUUUGGAAUACAUCCCCCCAUAGAAACAAGGCUAUAAAUGGAGGUUAGCUUUUCAUGUUUUAAAACUCAGAGGGUGUGUGACAUUUGUGUAUAAGUGCCUUAUGCUUCCUGAGUCCUAGUUUGUCAUUGUAAAAAUGACUCACUGAGAAUGACCUUUCUGAUAGUUGUGUUGGUGAUUCACGUACUGGAAAAUGGAUACGAGGUCACUAUGGCUGUUGUUCCAACACCGUGGUAGAGAGGAUGCAUGUGACCUUGACAACAGCCCUUGAGUACUCAGAGCCUCGGUUUCCAGCUCUGUAAAAUACAAUGAGAACACUUACCUCACAGGGUUAUUAGAGGCAUAAAGGGGAUCAUGUACUUAAAGCCCCGAGUAUGAAGCCUAACACUGGUGAGUGGUUGAUCGACAAAGGGAGUGUCUUUGCCAUCUCAAGAAUGCCUGCCCAUAGCUACAUAGACUUUCUGGAUUGAUCUGAAUCAACCCCUAUAAAUAUUCCUAUGCGCCAGGAAGAUCAAAACUAACAAGUGUUUAGCGGAUGCCUCCCUUCUGUUCAGUCUCCUAUUGGUUCCAUGUGACAUAAAUGAGAGGUAGAUGCUAAGAUCCCUCGUGCUAAGAAUGAGGUGUAGAAGGGUUGCUAAUGUCUGUCUGCUAAUGGGAUCAGAGAAAGCCCUGAAGAUGAUAAAGAAGCCAGGGAAAAGAGUGGGCGGGGGCAUCUUUCAGGCUGACCAUGUAGCCCUGUUGGUUUAGUUGAACUGCAUCCCUACUAGCAAGAUGCGUGUGAGAAAAUGAUCAUAAUGUUGAACUUUCACCCACUAUUUAAGUCCCCAGGGGAAACCUCAGGUUGUGUGCUCAGUGGAGCAACAGUCCACAGGCCAGUGGCUGAACUUUGCAAAGGAGGAGGAGACUGGUUGCCACGAUAAUAAAGUUCCCUGGAAGGUCUCAAGUUUCAUGCAAUCUUUAUAAUACUCAAGAUGAUCUCUCUGGGGAAGGUGAAAAGAAUUAUAAUUACAUCUGUGAAAAAGGCUUGAGAAAGAAAGAAAAAAAAAUCCUGCCAUAUGGUGUGUGGAAAAUGUUUUGGAACUGAAUAAAUAAUAUGGUGGGUGUUCACCCCCACCCCCAUUUUUGUUUAUACAUCGACAUUAUGCUGGCUGACUGGUGAACGUGGAUCCGUUUUUCUUCCAGAAUAGAAAUGCACUGGGUAAUUUAAUUUUAUGACCAUUAAUAAUACGGGUCUCUCUCUGUAAGCAAAGACAUUUACAAACUUAUAAUCAGAUUUUGUGAUUUGGGUGUAAACCAAUCACCCACAAGAGGCGGAGGAGAUAUUUCCAUCCUACAUUCCUUUCGCAGUAAGAUUGCAUGAAAUGUAAAAAGGACAUAGAGUAAAAGGUCCAGAUUCCUAGAGGGAAGAAGGGGGAAGGUCACUGGUUUAAAUGGGUGCUUCAUCCUCCACCAAGAAAUUUUUAAAAGCUGGCCACUGAUAGGUAUUAACCACCAAAUGUCUCCAAGCCUGAGUCCAAAUGGGAUCUGGUUGUGUGUUCCCAUUAAUUCUGUGCCGUUGGUGUUGCAAGACCCAUUUAUCAGAGGAGAAAGCCAAGGUCAGAGACAUGAAAUGAUCUUCUCCUGUUCGCCAAGCUAACGGAGCCUAGUUCAAAUCUGACCCCUUUCACUGCUCAGCCUCCACCUUUCACUCUAACACCCAACUCUGCCACCCUAAUGCCUCCUACAGCGGGAAUACCACUUAGAAAGAAGGCUGAUAGACAAGAAUUUAUACUGCAAGACAAACUGAGCCAAGCACUAUUAAAAACACACUAGUAUCCUUCAAGAAGAUUGCAAAUAGAGGGGUUUUCAACAAAAAUGUAAUGGUUAGUAUUUAUGGAUUUCUCAGGGUACCAAGUCUUUUAUAAUCCAUUAACUUUACCCUCCCAGAAAUCCAAUGAGAGAGGCUCUGUUGUGUAAUUCUGCUGAAAGAUGAGGAAACCCACGAUCGGAGAAGUGAAGCAAGCUAACCAUCCUCACGGGGGCCAUAAAUAAUGGUACGAAGGUUUUGAAGCCACAUCUGUAUGACUCCAGAGCUUGCCUUUUGAAUCUCUCAAUGCAUAACUUACGAUGGGUGAGUCAUAUUAGAGUUAGAACUGAAGCCGUGGGCAGAGAAUAACCAAAAGGUCUCAGGAGACAUGGAAAUUCUCAAGGAUUAUUGAGAAGCCCAGUUUGGCUGGAUCAUAGGGGGCCAUGUUGAGUAGAUUUAUUUGUGCAACAGGAACUUAUCUUCUGUGUGCUAUAUAUCAUUUUCCAUAUGGGGAUACAGAGAUGGAUAAGACGUAUUCAGUGCCCUGGAGUAUGUCUGACAUUUAAAGGGCAGAAGGAUUGUAAGUUCCAUGAGAGUACAGACCUCAGGCACAUAAUAGGAGCCCAAUAAAUAAUCAUAUUUCAUUUUUUCAACGAAUAAUCACUGAUGUGCUGUCACUGCCCAUCCUCACACCUACUGUCCAAAAAGAGUAGGGCUUUUGUGUGGACAGUGGUAAACCAAUGAACGUGAUGCUUUGGGCAUCAUCAUUAAGGAUCUCAAGAUAGCCGACCUUGGAUCUCUGAGUGUUUGGGUUGAGUGGAUCACAGGGAAAAGGACGUGAGGUGUGAGUUAGCACUCACUGUCUCCCUCUUAUCAGGCCGGACAAAUGUGAUCUCCAUUUCUUGUUACUACUCGUCUAAAUAUGGGUCCCAUCUUCAACCUGGUCUCCAGGGUCUGUUCACAAGCCAGCCACAAUGACCCCUUCUGUGCGCUGAAAGAUCAGUAGGUACUUGAUAGGGGACCAGGGACCCCACUGGUGAUGGGCAAAGGUCCUGUCUUGAAAAGACAAAGACUUUGGACAGGAUCAGUGCAAAUCCAAGAAGACCAGCAUGAAGACUGGGGACCCUUACUCUGGCACACCAUUUUCUCCCUCUUCUGCCACACUCUGCCUGGUCUCUUAUCGGGUCUAUUUCAACCUAUUAUCUUAUCAUCCUCUUUCCUCCAAUGUACCUUCCUUCUUCCUAUCCAGACUGUAUCUAGGAUACUUAAAGCAACACCUUUGCUCAAGAGUUUCCUGCAGGAGCACACCUUUACCUUAUCCACCUUUAUCUCGCACAAAAAAACCCUCACUCUAUCAUCCCAAAGCCAUGGAUGUUAACUAGACUGACGUUGGUGAUCAUUUUGCAACAGAUACAAAUAUUGUACCAUGAUGCUAUACACCGGAGACUAAUACAAUGUUAUAUGUCAAUUAUACUUCAAUAAAAAUUUGAAGACUCAUUUAAAAUCACCUACACUGAGAACUCUACAUGAAUUACCAGCCCUCCAACGCAGAACUCUGUUCACUGAGAUUUAUUUAAUUUUCAUAACUUCACCUUCGACAUGGACCAGAUUAUGAAGGUUACCUGUUUAUCUGUGUGUCUUACAACCACCCUACAGGCCCACCAUGAAUUCAUCGCACAGAGGGAUUCUAUCUUUUUUAGCUCUGUGACUGCAGCCUCUAAAAAGAUCCCACAGCAUCAGUAGGCCCAGUGGAUAUUUUAGAAAUUGAACUAAAUUGAGGGAAGAGCAUGGCUCUUUCCUUUAUUGUCCUCUCAGCACCCAGCGUGGUUGUGACACAUUUCUCAGACAUCAGCUGGCUCAGGGGUAUGGCCCUCAGGUGUGGGUCUCUGGGAUCUCUGGCUCACAACUCUAGAUUGCUCUGCUGAACCUCCCUUUUCCAAACACAGUUCAAAGGGUAGAAAGACAUUUAAGUGGAAUGAGGCCAUACCUGACUGUAGGAUUCCAGUAUGUCACAGUGAUAUGGAUCUUAGAGUGAAGGACCAGCAUCUCAGGCAGAUGACCUCUGGCGACAUCCGGCUGACAGAAAUCUUCUGCUUGGGCUUCCCAUGGUUAAAACAAUUAUCAGGGAGUUCCCUCCAUGGCUCAGUGGUUAACAAACCUGACUAGGAUCCAUGAGGAUUCGGGUUUGAUUCCUGGCCUCACUCACUGGGUUAAGGAUCUGGUGUUGCCAUGAGCUAUGUAUGGUGUAGGUCUCAGAUAUGGCUUGGAUCCCACCCAGCUGUGGCUGUGGUGUAGGCCGGCAGCUGCAGCUCUGAUUCAACACCUAGCCUGGGGACCUCCAUAUGCCGCGAGUCCAGACCUAAAAAGCAACAAAACAAACAAUUAUCAAAUUGCUUUAAAAACCGUAUUUAAAAACUAUGAGUUUUUUGUGUAAAACCCCAGAUUUCUAUUUUCUCUUGGAAAAACUGGAAGAUCUAGCCACACUUGGCCUGAAUUCUCCAUCUGUAUGUUUCCA
rnacentral:lncRNA from 1 species